rnacentral:sRNA from 1 species
GAUGCUCUCGGAGGAGCCCUACGAAACGUAUCACCCGGAAUUUCCAGAUCCAGAGAUUCGACGAAUAGCUCUAAAAAGCUCGGCAGUCGUCGAGCUGCUCCGAAUCGAAUCACCAUCUUCAUUUUUCUGCCGUCCCGUCGAUCAUGUCACCGAUGAUCAAUUAUUGAUUCGCGAACCGUACCGCCUAACAACUCGAAUUAUCGAUUUUUCGGCGGGAAACAUGGCGAUGGCUCCGCUCCGGCCACGUGUAUUCGCUCGAUGUUUAAUUUUGAAAAAUUUGGAGCUUAUCGAGGCCGCCCGGAUUUUUUUCAUCGAUUCUGCGGUCACUGCUAAUGUUUCGUGGAAAUGUCUGUUUCAAAUUGAUGAAAAUCUCAAAUUUCACCCAUGGCAGGCGAUGCAUUGCACUUUGGGACGUUUGGUGCACCUUUCG